AUCAGAUUCUCGUACUCAAACUCACUUACAAGCUAAAUUGCAGCAGUAAGCUAACAAUAGAGCUUGUAGAAAUGGUAUGCACCACUUGCCAUUGAAGCUGCAUUAUCUCAAAUGAAAGCCUGUAACUACCUGUUGAAGAAAUCCGAGAUUGAAAGAAAUUUGAGAGCGAGAGAAGAGUGAGCAAUCGGUGAGAGGAUGAGAAGAGACUUGAUUUUUCUCCAGAG
rnacentral:lncRNA from 1 species